AAUCAAUAAUGAGAUUCGUUAACAACGAUUCUCAUUAUGGAUUAUAAUCGAUUUUAUCGAUUCGUUGUUUCAGCCCUAAAUAUGACCAAGCUG